UUGCAGCCAGUUAAGCCGGCAGUGCUCUUUUCGCCAUGGGGAGCCCACUAUGCAAUGGCAGCAAACAGCAGUCUCCUUGGUAGUGUAUGCAGCCUGUUGCCUGCACAGGUUGCUCUAAAGGACUUUGGAGAUGGCC
ensembl:snoRNA SNORA70 Small nucleolar RNA SNORA70